AUUAUAUGUUAUGUGCAAUAUACUGUCAACUCCCCAAAACCAUAAAACUUACUUUAAUGGCCACCACGUGACCGUUUAUGGCCAGUGAGCCUAUCUGGCCGCGCUCUGGAUGAUUUUUACGAUCUAAUUCAUAGACAAAACCCCCAUUCAUUUGGCACCCAAAUGUCAGGGAGCCAGAACCGGCCUAAUAAAGUUUACGGCUCGAAAAGUCGAACGGAUUUCAUGAGAGUAGUGAGCUCGAGCACAGGGGACGCAGAGCCCCUAGAGCAGGUCACUGGCUAGGACCCGCUUUAGACCCACGUGCAGAGGGAGAGGACGGACAAGUGCUGCUGGCGCAAAGCGACCGGAUCCCCUGUUCUGACAGCUGGGUCCUGGACGAAUCCAAGCGCUCCCGGGAUCAGGCAACGACGCACUCAACCCGUCCAAUGUGCCAAACCGUCACGAGGACCCCGGGGUUUCUGACGCCACACCGGUGGACUGGGAAUCUCCGUACUCGGCGUCCUCGGCCUUGGACUGUCCGUCGGUUACCGGAUCACUG